AUGAUGACAAGUGAAGCUCAUAGCAUGUUAUUCAUUUUAUAACCAACUUUCAAGUUUUGCUAGAAUGUAGUGUUAUAAGAAAUUUAUCAUUAGACCAAUCAACUAUACAAGCUUCCCUCUAUAGCAAUAGAACAUCAAAUCACAGAUUUGAGGCUUGCUUUAAUAAUGUUUUGUCAAUGAGAUCGACGGAAAGAUUACUUUACAAUUACAUUGCCAUCUCUAUGUGAUUGUAUUUACCAAUUUAGAAUGAUUAAAUACCAUAAUUGUACAUUACCAUAUUAGGUUAAUUACAUACCAUAGACGUACAGAUUUUAAUUCAAUCCCAAAAAUAGCUAAAACUUUUACAUUGUAUCAGAGCCAUACCUAUAGAAGCAGACGCUGAAUCUUCAAUUCUCGGUGUCGACAACUCUAUUCCGGCGUUUUUCUUGCAAGUUUCGAGGUCAAUCAAUCUCUGGUCGAUGUCACCGUCGUUUGCGUAACUCUAUCUCGGUGGUCAAAAUUCUGCAUCAGAAUUUUCGAAUUCUAUAGGUUUUCGACACAAUUUCCAGCAUUUCUCGAGGUGUAUGAACGCGGUUUCCAACAUCUCUUGAGCAAUAGGAGCGAUAUUCAGGUGGUCCUCUAAUUGUAAUCGACACUAUUCCGGAGUCACUGUGGGUGCUCGACGAUUUCGGCGUCACUCUGGGCUCGUGUUUUUGUGGGUAUUACCAUGACUGAUUUUGGUGAACCAUUGUUGGAUUG
rnacentral:lncRNA from 1 species